rnacentral:rRNA from 1 species
CUACGGGUCGCAGCAGUGAGGAAUUUUGCGCAAUGGGGGAAACCCUGACGCAGCAACGCCGCGUGAGCGAAGAAGGCCCUCGGGUCGUAAAGCUCUGUCAAGUGGGAAAAAAAUCUUUUGAUCAAUAGUCAAAAGACUUGAUGGUACCACUGGAGGAAGCACCGGCUAACUCCGUGCCAGCAGCCGCGGUAAUACGGAGGGUGCAAGCGUUGUUCGGAUUUACUGGGCGUAAAGAGCGUGUAGGCGGUUUAGCAAGUCAGAUGUGAAAGCCCUGGGCUCAACCCGGGAAGUGCAUUUGAAACUGCUUCACUAGAGUAUGGGAGAGGAGAUUGGAAUUCCUGGUGUAGAGGUGAAAUUCGUAGAUAUCAGGAGGAACACCCGUGGCGAAGGCGAUUCUCUGGACCAAUACUGACGCUGAGACGCGAAAGCGUGGGGAGCAAACAGGAUUAGAUACCCGUGUAGUC